AAACAACUGGACUGUUUCUCCCGGGAAUAUAGAGAUAGCGAAAUUUAAUAAAGCCAUAGAGUCGCUGAAAGAAGCGCACGAUAAUUCUACCAAUUCGAUUUGAAUAUGAAGGAGCGGUUUGCUACAAUGUAGGGCAACAUUACCCGGUAAACAGGAUAAAUAAAAUAAUGAAUUGGAACGAUCACAUAAAACUAUAACAAGAAGCUUAACUUACCAGCGUUUUAAUGUUAAUUAACAUUAUAUCAUCAGAAAUACAUUACGAUGGGGGAAGUGUAAGAAGUUGUAGAGCAGGGCUAACUAGUGUGGGGGAAAAUUAGUGUAAGAUGACACUGGAAUGCGAUAGCAGAGAAUGCAGAAAUACAGGAAUUUACACCCGUUUUAAAAGAACAACAACUGAUCGUUCUAAGGUUAGUACGAAUGAAGUUUUCACCAAGCGGUGUAUAGUCUCUGAUUAAUCAAAAAGUGGUUCAUAGAGAGUACAGUUUAUGUGAUGAAAUACGUACUAGAUCACGUUUUACCUAACUUAUAGUAAGGUACCGAUGUAAUUUACAAAUAGCCCCACUCGGAGUCGUUUUGCAUUAAAAUGGCGGUUUCAGUGGUGAUAAAAUGCGUGGAGAAGUUGUUAUUAGCGUCAAAAUACGGAAAAUAAACGUAUAUGAAAAAUCACAAGCGUGGUAAAAAUAGUUAGAAGAAAAGCAAAUUGUAGAGUAUGGGUGUAUUCAAUUUCUAAGGGUAGGAUACAGAUGGCCGAGCAGGGGGGAAUUGUGCGUUCUGUGUAUGGCUGGAGCUUCUGUCGCAUGCUCGGGAAAUGUAAGGGGAUUUUAGUAUAUGUAAUACUAUUAGCUUGCUGAUUUAGAGGGUGGCAUGGUGAAUGUUAACGAAAUGUACAUUUCUUUUCCAGAAAAAAAGGGGUUACAUGUUCUCUGGUCAAAAUGUCAUUGGAAACUGUAGUACUGAGGAAAGCAGUUAGAGAUAUUUUGGCCACUAAAAAUCUUAGUAUCUGGUUAAGGCUAUAACUGGAGUUUCGGAUAAGUGAGGCCGGCUCAUGUGUAUUCUUGGCCUAUAUGCGAUAGUGGGUUUCCUUUGGAAGGGUUUUUUCAGUUCAGUUUCAAAUUGGGUAUGCAGAAGGAUGGAAAUGUUUUUGAAAAUGUAUUUGGGUUGUUUCUAAAGAAAGGAGAGUGGAAACAUUUUAAUGGUGUCAAAUGCCCUGAAUCCUAAGAAUUUCCCUUGAAGAUUGAUCAACUUCACUAGAAAUUGUUGGAACAAGUGGGAUUUAAUUAUAAAAUGAUUGAGAAACACCAGUCUCUAUUCAAAGUGUACAAUCACUUUGAAAUUCCAUUAUUUCCUUGGGAAAAAGAUGAAGAGUUGUAAUCUUGAAUUGACUAGUUAUUCAAAUAGGUUUAUUUUUAUUUAACAUGGGGUUAUAGGAGAACAUAUCAGUUCCCUGGGGUUAUGGUCUUUGGGUAAAUACAAAAUGUGCUUUGUUCAUGCUACAUAUAAAAUGGAAAUAUAUGUAAACAAGGGAUAACAGUUACUCCAAAUAGGUUAUUGGAGUGGGGGUUUCUGCAAGGGUUAUGAUGAUAACUACAUAAUCUGUAACUCAUCUGAGAGAUCGCUAGUAGAAUAAGGGAGUUAUCAUGGAAAUGUAAUGUCAGACUGCAUUAAUGCUUGGGAGAGACUAUCAUAACACCAAGUGGGUGUGAAACUCAAACCCACCCUACUGGCUGAAUAGUGUGGGACAACUGUGUCUGAUGACCUGUGAACUGUAUCUGGAAUGAUAUGUACUGGGAGAAGAAAGACUAAAGGGGAUUGGGAUAAUGACCUUUUAUUACUAGGCCACUCAUGACAGAAAAACAGAGGUAAAAGGGUGCAUGGUAAAAUAGAUAUUACUGGUACUAAAAGUUUUUAGUAAAAUGUUAAUUAUUAAAGGGAUGAUGAAUUGAAUUGAGAAGGUCAAAUUUGAGUUAAAGUAAGCACUAAGGACUGUUAUUUUGAAUAUUGGGUUGGACAAUUAAUAAACAACAUUUAGUUAUGUUUUGAAUAUAGGACUGUUUAAAUUUACUAGGCCUAGGGAAGCUCUGGAAACUAAUCCUGAGACAGGUUGAUUGACAGAACUUGCAGAAUAUUAAAUUAAAGGUUUUUGUUUCUUUUAUUUUACAAUAUCAUUGUAAUUGGAGUAAUACAUUGGAAUGACAUAAGUAAUUUAAUAAAAAGUAUAGUCUGUUGUGUGAUAACACCCAAGGAUGAAGAAGACAUUACAAAUAGUGGUAAUUUAUAGCAAAUAUGCAGUUAUUAUAAUUUACUUUACCAUUUUUCUUGUUUGGUCAAUUUAUUUUUGGUUUGAGGAAAAUAAGAGUGUAUAUUUUUCCUGAGGAGGGACUGAUAUAAAUUGACUAAAAAUGAUUUGAGAAUGUUUAAGUAUGUAUCAAACUAUGGAAGGAAAUUAGAAGUAGUGACUUAUGUGUUAUGGGUUAGAAAAACUGUAACUACAUUGGGGGCUCAUAUGAAGGUUAUGGUAACAAGGGGGGGGUGUUAUUUCUAGAAACAGUGUAUAUUGAUAGACAAGAUAAUUCACAGAAAAGGAAGGACAGUUGGUCUUGUAAAAAUAUAGGGACAAUUCUAAAAGUAGAUAGAACAUUACACACACCUAGAUUAUGGUAAAAGUAAUAAGUAGUGGCAUUUUGAAGAAGCUUAGGACUUAGUUUUGUUAGGAUUGGAUAUUCUUCCAACUAGAAAACACUUGACUGAUUACAUGCAAUUCUUGCAGCAGUUACGGUAGGGACCAUAAUUUGGCUAUCAUUAUGAAUAUUUUUGUGGCAGGAGGCCAGGUAUUUAAGACAGAAUGUUUACAUAGGGCUGUUAUUUAAAAAUUAAGAUUUAGUGAUCCUGCUAUAAGAAGAAAGUCUGUUGUCAGGAAAUAACCCAUGUGUUAGUGUGUAUGUCCUCAGGAAAAAACAGCACAUAAGAGGCCAGAUGGAAGGGCAUAGACUGAAUUCUGGAGACUGAGUGUACAUCAAGAUACAUCGGGCUGGGGAUAUACUUCUUACAGCACCUGCAGUGGUAAAGAUUGUCAUGUCUCUCUUUGGUGGGUGCAUAAGUCUCACAAGAAGUAAAGUCCAGCUGAAUAAUGGGUGAGCUUGAAAACACCAUGACAGAGGACGUGAAACAAAACAAAAGAGAGAGACUAGAUUCUACUGUAGACAUACUGGGUUGAGUUUGGGGGUUAUUUGUUUUAUUUGAUAAUGUAUCAUGUGAAUAAGGAUAUAUGUUAGGGUAGUUGUACUCUAAACCACAUGUUGAAGGCUCGAUGUGGAAGCCCAUUCAGUGUUGAAUUACUUCAAGAAGGAAUAAUGUUGAUUAAGGUUAUGCACAUGCUUAUCAGUUGAAACAGAGCAGAUGGGGAACUAAGUAAAAAAUGACAUGGUUUGGGAACACCUCUCAGAACCUGCGGCUGAAAGGGGAAGACUGGAUGAAAGCACGAGGAAGCCAAUUAGGGCCUCCAUUUUUGUGGAGUCCAGCAGAAAAGUAUCCUGGAGGCAUAGAGUCAGUCUUAUGUUUAGGAAACCAGAUGGAGAAGGGUUCUCCAGCUUCAGCUGGAAUGUCAGUUUGUGUGAUGAGUGAUGGAAGUAAGAGAAUGUAUGGUGUAAUCAUAGAACAGAGGCCAUAAGUCUCUAAGUAUGAAUGCCCCAUAGAAAGAAGGCAGAAAUCUGAACCAGGAUGAGAGGUUCCACAUCUGAUGAUCCAAGGGGACCAGAAGGAUCUCUCCCAGUGAUACCAGGAGAUCGAGUCUACGUUUGAGUGUUCCGAAGGAAGUGGGAUCAGCCGAGGAGGGAAGGACCCUACGAGGUGGCAACAGCCACAAACACGGCCGUCCAAGUGAAAGGAAGCAAGACGUGGUAUCAUCUAAACCACUGCACCCGAGUCCCGACGGAGAGAAGGACACAACCAUACAGAGAUGAGGACACAGAGGAUGCUGAUUCACCAGAAGGGACCCCGGAGGGAGCAGGAGCAGCGGAAUCGAUCAAAGCGCCGGGGAGGAAUCAAGAAAAUGGCAGACCAGAUACAACGAGUGCAUCGGCUAACACACUCAGAAGAACCGACCAGGGAAAAAGAGCCUGAAAAGAAAAGAGACAAACAACCAAAGUUUCCUCCAGUAUGGCCAGAAAGCCCAGAAGUGGGAGGGGGUAACAUGUCUGCCACUCCUGAUGAUAUACUUGUUGGGGCAGGCUUUGUUGACGGAAGCCUUCUACAGUGGGACCCCGAGGUAUCGCCUAAAGAAGGGGAACAUCUCUUCCCUGAAAUGGACGCCUUCCCAGAUGGAAGCCUAGUUCGGGCUGAGGAGGGAACAACAUGCGAAGAGAGUGGAGGAGAAGCCUUAUCAGGAACAACAAGUGAAGAAAGCAGAGGAGAAGCCUUACCAAGAGCAGAAGGAGAAAUCUUGCAAGAUGAAAGAAAUGGGGAUUUCCCCAAAAUUGACUUUUCAGCUCUUGAAUUGUCUCCAUAAUGAACAAUUGAAGUUAGACCCAUAGAAGAACAAUGAUAUUGACAUAACAGAAGUAACAGUGAACGCUAGAAUAGCAACAACAGACUCACGCACAAUCAAGAUGUAGGGUGGAAACAGGAAGAGAAGAGAGGAACCAGUCAAACAAUCUAAAAAGACUGACAAGGUUAGAAUCUCUGUCCCACCUCAACAUAUAACUGAAACAGAAGAAUAGAAGACAAAAGGAUCAAACCCUUACCGGAGAUUGCAUUCGGUGGAUGGACAUAUCAUCGAACGAAGAGAGAAGUCAUUUGGGACUCAAAAGGAUGUGACCUGACGUUAACCAAAGAAGUAGACGAGUGGGUGCUCACCAUGAAUCAGAUUGAACCAGUUGAAGGUGAAGAAUUAAUAGGUGAAAUAAUGAGAACAAGAUUGGCUGAAGGGAGUAGUUCCUCAGUCAUUCAGAAUUGGUCUUACGCCAAUACCUAAACAGGAAGAGCCUGUGGUAGCUAGAAAGCAUCAGAACCAGGAGGGUUCUUUACUGACAUUUUGAACUUUUUGACUAACUUUAAUGACCUACCUCAAGAUAAGAACAUUGCAAAGAUGACAGACACAGACAUACCAGACUCUGAACCACUCAAGGACACCACAUGAAAUGAAUAGUGAAGAAUGAGUGGUACGAUUAGGCUAAGUAUACAGCAGAAAUAAACAUAGGAGGGACAAUUGUAUUUUGUGUAGAAAAUCACCUUUGUCUGAUCUUUUGAUAGUACCUGAACCUGCAUCAUUUGAAGAAUGCGUUAAAUGUAAAAUGUUCAAUAUUCAGAGAAAAUACUACAUUCCCUUGUGUGACAUAGAAUGUAGGAUUGCUCGAGGGAGCACUAGAGGCAGAACCAUAUUAAAUUAGACUGGGUUGGGAGUUCAAGGCAAGAGAUGAAGUUAAAUCUGGAUUUGAAUCUUAAUUUUUGUGGAUAACAUCAAAUAAGAACUUAGAGUGGAUUAAUUACAUAUACUAUAACCAACAGAGAUUCAUUAACUAUACUGACUCGGCUUUAACGGCGUUGGGGGAAUAGGUACAGGAUACCAGUAAAAUGUCUUGCCAAAAUAGACAGGCUCUCAAUUGGCUUUUUGCAGAGAAGGGUGGAGUUUGUUAUGUUCGGGAUGAUUGUUGCACCUUUAUUCCCAAUAACACUGCGCCUAAUGGAUUCUUUGCUGUCGCUAUGGCUAAACUUAAAGGGUUAAGAAAAGAGGUUAAGAAAAAUGCUGGGGUGGACUCUCAUGUUUGGAAUUGGUUGGACUUAGCAUUGGGGAAAUAGGGAGCCAUGUUUGCUAGGACGGCCUUUAUGCUGGAAGGGGGGUUAUUGGCUCUGGGUAUUGUAUUUUGUUGUGUUUUACCCUGGGUGAAAUCACUUGUGAUCCAGACAACGGUUAAACAGAUGUUUGUAAGUAGAGCUGACACUCCGGUGAUAGUUGAUCCUGUGCCGGGUAGGCCAGGCCACUAUACUGAUGAAAAUGGACAGUUAUGCUGUCAUUCCAAAUUCAUAAGAAAGUCAACUGAUGCAUAUCCACAAAAAGGGUCAUUUCCGUAGUAAGUACAAGAGGUGUUAUGUAAGGUCUACUUUUGCUCACGGCCUUGUGUUUUAGUAUGUUUUGUCAAAUGUUUUUAUAGGUAUAUCAAUGAAUAUAUCUGGUUUCUUUUAAUUAAAAGUUAGUUUUGCCUUCUAAAAUGCUAGGUUAUAUUUAAAAACAUGUAGGUAACAGUGGGAUAUCCCGGUUACAAGUGUCUACGGACCAUGUCCUUAAUCUUCUAACAGAGAUUGGUAUUGAUGGUAUCACGGUUGUUGGAGAGGUGUCUGAGAGGGAGAAUCAUGUGGAAAGCUUAAAUUUAGAAUGAUGUGUCAAUUUUAUUUUGUAACUGCAUGGAGGCCUAGUGUUUUCUCAUAUUCAAUUUAUUAUUUGACUCAUUGCUUUAUUAUAUAUAUUUUUAUUUUUUGCGUAGCUGAGAACCUCAGACAAGGUUAUGUAUUUACAUGCUCAUGCUUUAACAAAAGAUAAUGUAUUAUUUUUUGUUUCUAUACCGAACUAGAUAUUUUACUCUUAUGAAAUACUAGAGAUGUUUGGUGUAGGUGAUUAGGAAGUUUUAUUUUUUAAUUAUUUUUUAUUUUUUUAUUUAAAAAUAUUUUUUUUGAUAAUCGACUGUUGAUAUUAUGUUCCAUAUGUCCUUUUUAAGUUUUUGGUGCUUAUUAAAGCACCAGAGGGGGGUUAUGUGGGAGAAAUUAGGUACAUAUAUGGAUAAAUAUAUUGUCCUAUAUAAUGGCAUUUGCCAUUCUGGUAAGGUACAUUGUCUAUUGUAUAGGACAGGAAGCCAGAGUGGGGCCAUGGGAGAGGGCAACACCUAGGGCAGCUGGACAUACAAAGGUCAGAGGUUAUCUAAGGAGGGGGUCAGCCAAAGGACCAAUUGAUGGAUUACAGACAUCAAUCACAUCACAGGAGACAAGUCUGUUUGAUCUUAGACAACCAUAUGAAGAGAAGGCGACCAGAACAGCUAGGCACCCUAAAGCUAAAGGAGAUGAAAGACACCAAAAGGGACACAUGGAGUUAAUUACAGGGUAUGAACACAGGCCACAGGAAAGGGGAAUGUAUAGUAUUUUUAGUAUAGCUGAGCAUGCUAAAAACAGAAGAGACACAUAGUCUGCUGACCCUAGAUAACACACAAACAGGAGAACGCAUUAAGCUGAGUGAAGGGUCAAAGCAAGGGUCUUGUCACCAUUAGGAUCUAAUGGAAAGCAGAUGGGGGCGUUAUUGGGCUGAACAAGCAGGAAGCACGGAUUGGGAUGUAACUUAAUUUGCAUAUGGGAGGGACUUAUAUGGUAGGUGUAUAACUCAGAGCGAGGGCUCUGAAAAAGUGUGUGUGUUCCGCGGACCGCUCCGGCUUAUGAUACUGUUGUAUUAAAAGUCUAUAUUGAUUUUCACAAA